GAUGAAGAACGCAGCGAAAUGCGAUAAGUGAUGUGAAUUGCAGAAUUCAGUGAAUCAUCGAAUCUUUGAACGCACAUUGCGCCCGCCAGCACUCUGGCGGGCAUGCCUGUUCGAGCGUCAUUUCAACCAUCAAGCCCCCAGGGGCUUGCGUUGGGGCCCUGCGGCUGCCGCAGGCCCCGAAAAGCAGUGGCGGGCUCGCUGUCACACCGAGCGCAGUAGCGAUUCUCGCUCCGGGCGUCGGCGGCGGGCACCGGCCGUGAAACCCCCCCACAUCCACAAGGUUGACCUCGGAUCAGGUAGGAAUACCCGCUGAACUUAAGCAUAUCAAUAAGCGGAGGA
rnacentral:misc_RNA from 1 species